rnacentral:rRNA from 1 species
AUGUUCGAGUAUCUAAAUGUUGUCAGCAAGAUGUUUGAUAGUGAGGCUGAAGGCUAUGAAUUCUACAACAAAUAUGCUCUUGAAAAAGGUUUCAGUGUGAGGAAAAGCUACGUUGAGUGGGAUGGAUCCAACAAAUACAUAAUUUUAAGGAAAAUUAUGUGUAGUCGUCAAGGGUUUCGCGAAGAGAAGCACAUGAAAAGAAAGAUGGAAGAUAGAAAGAGGAGGUCACAAAGUUUAACUCGUGUUGGGUGUAAUGCUAAAUUGGUCAUUACGAGACAGGAGGAAACAGGUCGGUGGUUUGUCAAGGAUUUCAUCAAUGAGCACAACCAUCCUCUAGCCCCACGGGAUCUUUCUCGUCUGCUGCGUUCGCAUAGACGAAUUAGCGAUGAGCAGAAAGCGGACAUUGCGGACAUGGAAAAAAUGUGGGAUCCGCAAAUACCGUAUUAUGGAUAUUUUGUGCUUUCAAUACAGUGGAUUUGA